GGCGGGUGUUUUGCACGGGACAAGGAGUUCUUUUUUGUUGUUGUUAUUCUUUGCGUCAUUUCCAGAGAGACAGGAAGGAAAACAUAGUAAACAUUCUUCAAUUCUGCACAAAAGCCGAGAAGGGAUUUUCUUCAGGAACCUCCUUGUGGCUCUGCCAUGGCGGGGAGGGUUGGGGGUAAGAAAUAUAAGACCCAAUUCCCUGUGGAGGCGGGGAUUCGGUGAAACCAAUCCCUUGAAUGUGGGGUGGAACCAACAUGUAACUCAAUUUGCUUUGGCUCUCACUGUGCAUUUGAGCUAAAGCAAGGGAAGCAUUUCCCCUUCCCCUGGCUGAAAGCUCAGCUGACCCCGAGGCUCUUCUGGUCAUGCUUAGAUUCUUGCUUUGUCACCUGUCACCCAGGCUGGAAUGCAGUGGCAAGAUAGCUCACUCCAACCUCUGCCUCCCGAGUUCAAGCGAUUCUCCUGCCUCUGCCUCCCGAGUAGCUAGGAUUACAGGCACGCACCAAUACACCCGGGUAAUUUUUGUAUUUUUAGUAGAGAUGGGGUUUCACCAUGUUGGCCAGGCUGGUCUUGAACGCCUGACCUCAAGUUAUCCACCCGCCUCGGCCUCCCAAAGUGCCGGGAUUACAAGUGUGAGCCACCGCGCCUGGCUCACUUUUCUUCUCUCUUUACCUCUGUGCUCACAUUUUUUCCCCAGGGAGGGAAAAAAAAAUUGUGUAAAAAUAAAAAAAGAAAAAGAAACUUCCCUCCUUUCUUCUUUGCCUGUUACCUAACUCCCUUAUCCGUCAAAUCCUUCCCCAAAUUCCCAAAUUCCCAUUUUUUAUCAUCUCCUACGGAGAGCAGCUCCCUCCAAAGUUCCUUCCCAUUUACUCUCCAAGAACGAGCCCUGGGCAGGAGAGCUGGACAUUGCCUGGACCCACAUCAAAAGGCUCCUGCUGUGCUGGAAGGGUCAAAGCAUCCUAGGCCCAUCCUGGCCUUGUGAUCUGAGUCUGGGGCUGCGGUGGCCAGGUUGUCCAGUGGACACUGUAGAGGCAGCCUCGGGGUGAGAAGCCCCUCAUGUGGACCCGCAGCAGGGGACAUAAGUGGGAAGGAACCCAAAGGCUCAGGGGGAAGCAGGGGUGUCGCUACAUCAAGUAAAGCUCCUUCUCGCACCUGCCAGCAUGCUGGGAGGAUGCUACCUCUAGCAUCCUAGGGAUGGCAGAAAGGGGCAAGCAUGGCUCUGCCUCCUGCCUCUGUGCCUGGUGCAGGCUCCACUGUGGUGUGGGGUCUCUGGCAGUGAGGACUAGGCUACAGCCACCACUCUGGCCUGUGAAUCCUAAAGGAGCCAGGGCAUGACAGUCCCCACUGCCAACCUAGAGUCCCUCAAACUCUCUAUCUAGC
rnacentral:lncRNA from 1 species